UGUACAUGGGGAGGGCAAACCAACCACUUGUCCACCAGCAGACUGAAGCUUUUUAUUCACGUUUUAGAUGGAUUUAAUAUAACUGUAUAAAAUGUAUUUUUUAUUGAUCACAGUGAUGAUAAGCCCUAUAAGCCAUGCUAAUAACAUCACACAAGCACUCUAACCUUCAUUUUUCUUUUUUCUUUCAGACUGUAUCUUAAAGGACAGAACGAAGGAGGAGGAGCCAGGUGCAUGUUCAAAGCCAUCUGUCGCCUCACUUAAGGAAUCAAAGGACUGGUCUCUGCUGCAGUGUGAAGUUAAAGGAGCUUCUCCUCGACCUAAAGUGGAGUGGAUGGACAGUUCUGGAAACAUCCUUCAUGCUAAAGAACCACAGGUCACAGAAAGAGGAGGCAGCUACGACAUCAUCCUCAACACCACUGUGACCAAGACCGACCACUACAGCUGUGUGCUCACACAGAAUGAGAUCUGUCAUCAGAUUUCCUCUAAGAUCUCUGUGUACAUCCACGGUUCUUCACCUGGAUAUCGUGAUAUCUUUGGUCUGAGAAUUACUUUGGUUGGUUUAGUUUUUGUGGCUGUUGUGCUGGGUUUUGCAUAAAGCGUCACUGUAUAAAUCGUAAAAAGGUUCAAAUGCAGAUUCAGUCUUCCAGUGGACUCUUGCAGCCAUCUAAAACAACUCUGUGAAGUAUGUGUGACCUUAAGUAUUACUGGAUUACAUGGAGGGCAGAGGGGUGGCUCUGAAUCAAGUUCAACAUAAAGUUAGAGAGUAUUUAGAGCUGUAUUGGGCUUCAUGAAAGUGUUCAUCAACUUGUUAACUCAGGCUUUCUGCUUCAGGCUCUGAGCAUCGACGCUUCUUCUGCACAAAAUGGAAUGAUCACAGGCUGUCUGCUUCUGUCAGUUUAUAUAUAACUUUAGUUUGAAGUUGUAACGUUUUUUUAUUUUAUUGUUGUGUCACAUA